UUAAUUGAAGAGUUUGAUCAUGGCUCAGAUUGAACGCUGGCGGCAGGCCUAACACAUGCAAGUCGAGCGGUAACAGAAAGAAAGCUUGCUUUCUUUGCUGACGAGCGGCGGACGGGUGAGUAAUGCCUGGGAAUAUACCCUGAUGUGGGGGAUAACUAUUGGAAACGAUAGCUAAUACCGCAUAAUCUCUUGUCUUUUACGAGAUGGGAGCAAAGAGGGGGACCUUCGGGCCUCUCGCGUCAGGAUUAGCCCAGGUGGGAUUAGCUAGUUGGUGGGGUAAUGGCUCACCAAGGCGACGAUCCCUAGCUGGUCUGAGAGGAUGAUCAGCCACAC
rnacentral:rRNA from 1 species